rnacentral:rRNA from 1 species
UACAGAGGGGGCAAGCGUUAUUCGGAAUUAUUGGGCGUAAAGGGCGCGUAGGCGGCCUGACAAGUGGAAGGUGAAAUCCCUCGGCUUAACCGAGGAACUGCCUUCCAAACUGUUUGGCUUGAGUCCGGGAGAGGCGAGUGGAAUUCCCAGUGUAGCGGUGAAAUGCGUAGAGAUUGGGAAGAACACCAGUGGCGAAGGCGGCUAUCUGGACGGUUUCUGACGCUAAGACGCGAAAGCGUGGGGAGCAAACAGG